rnacentral:lncRNA from 1 species
UCCAAGUUCCAAACUUUCCUUGCUGCCCGCCUCCCCCAGCCUCCUCGCGCGGCGCCGGCCUCCGUCGUCCCACCCGCCACCUGUCGGCUGCCACGACCCAGCGGCGGCCUCCCGCGAGUCGUCCCCAGCCAGCCGCCAGGUCCGAGUUCCGCCCGCCUCCCAGCCACGCAGGACGCAGCUGCCAGCCUGCCGCCAUCGUUCCAGCAACCGCGCCGCCUCCGAGCUCCCAGCAGACGUCGCCAGCCGUCCCCACUCCCCAGGUAUGAUUCUUCUUCUUCUUCUUCUGAAUCUUCUUCUUCUUCUUCUGAAUCUUCUUCUUCUUCUUCCUUUUUUUUUAAAUGACUCAAUGUGUUAUGAAUUCAGUUGGCUUUAGAUUUCAGUUGAGUUCAGAAUGUUUGAUUCAGUUGAGUUUGAAUGUUUGAUUCAGUUUAGUUUUAUUCUUCUUGUUUUUUAUUUAUUUUCGAGUUUGAAUGUUUGAUUCAGCCGUCCCCACUCCUACAGCGGCUGUUGUGCUUCUUUGGAUCGAUAUCUCUAAUCUCCCUGCAUUUGUGCAUUUCUUGUUUGUGGUUUUGAGAUCUGUGAUCUUGAUUCUUAUUUUUUUGCUGUCCCAUUUGGCUGGUUCAGUGAUCUAUGAUGUGAAAAUAUAUAGCUCCAAGAUAUAAUUAUUUAGGGAUCUCGAGGGGUAGGGUGAUUGCUAUUUUAACGUUGAUAUAAUUGAAAGUAGCAAGUGUGAGAGUUGAGAGUAAAUUAGAAUUGACUUGAAUCUUAUAUUAAAAGUGCUUUAAUGAUGAAUGAGUUGCGAAAGCGUCAAACAUUAUGGAUUGGAUGGCUUCAUCAAUGAUCUAACAGUUAUAAGAAAUGAGACGAGCUGCUCUUGAUUGAUAUCAAGAUUCCAUCUUUCAUUUCUACACAACUGGUUCUCUGAAUGUUUAAAUGACUCAAGUGUUAUGAUUUCAGUUGGCUUGAUUGAUUGUUUCUAAAUUAGUUUGAGUUAUUAUGACAAUUUUCUUUAUGAAUUCAGUUUCUAAAUGACUAAAUGAGUGUGUUUACUUAUUUUGUAGUUUGCUACAUUGUUAUGGCAUCUUCUCGCAAUAGUAAUCGUGUUGAGGAAGACGCUAUUGAUAUGAAUGAUGAUAUGGAUGAUGAUGGGUUAGAGGAUAUUCCUAUCGGCGAAGACGGGGAAGCAACAAUAGAAACCGGAUCUCAAAGUGGUGUAUCAAAGAAAAGGAAAAAAGGAAGUGCACGCUCAGAUCAUUGGAAAGGUUUCACACUUAUGUGGGUUGAAGAAGGUGAUCCUCCGGAGAAGACGCGCAAGGGGAAGUGCAAGACAUGUGGAGCUGUAAUUUGCGCCGAUUCAUACCGUAAUGGGACGAAUGGCCUCAAGAACCACACUACUUCGUGCUCAAAAAAGCAUAAAAAUACAACGGAAGGUCAAACUGUAUUGUAUUUCACACCUGCCAGCACGGAUGGAACUAGCUCAUUGUCAGCUUGGAAGUUUGAUCAGAAGUUUGUUCGACUCACUUUGGCUGAGAUGAUUAUCCUUGAUGAGCUCUCAUUCACACAUGUGGAAAAGGAGGGCUUCCAAAAAUUUGUUGCUGCUGCUUGCCCAAUGUUCCAAAUUCCUACAAGGCAAACGAUCAGAGCUGACUGUGUGAAGAUCUUCUUGGAGCGGAAAGAUAGGUUGAAGACUUUCUUCACCAAGAAGGGCAUGGGUAGGGUCUCAUUGACCACAGAUAGCUGGACUUCAAUAAACAACACCAAUUUUAUGUGUGUUACUGCACACUUCAUUGGUAAGGAUUGAAGAUUACAUAAGAAGAUCAUUACAUUUGUCAAGAUCGUUAGUCACAAAGCCAUUGAUAUUGGUGAGGCUAUUGUGAUGUCGAUGAAGGAUUGGGGCUUGCAGAGAUUGCUUUGUUGCACGCUAGACAAUGCAACAGCAAACGAUGGGGCAGUAAGAUAUGUGAACUAUUAUCUUGAUGAGGUGCAGUCUAGAGUUCUCGAUGGAGGUUACCUCCAUAUGCGUUGCGCAGCCCAUAUCUUGAACUUGGUGCAAAUGAGCUCACCAUCUACCUCACUGAGAAGCAACACAAAAUGGGUAAGAAUGACGUCGACCAGUUUGAUAUUUUGAUGUGGUGGUCGACCAAUACUCCACGGUAUCCUGUGCUUGCUGAGAUGGCCAGAGAUAUCUUAGCUGUCCCCAUAUCUAGUGUUGCUUCAGAGUGUGCAUUUAGUAUGGGAGGACGUGUUCUAUCACCGUAUAGAAGUUCUUUGGCGCCGAAAAUGGUUGAGGCCUUGAUUUGUGCUGAGGAUUGGUUAAGAUCUACCAGCUUUGAUAAAAAAGAUGAAGAAGGCGUUUCAGAAGAAAAGCAACAGCAGGAGUUUGAAUCGGGUAAUUACAUAUUCUAGUUAUUCCACUUCUACAUAUUAUUAUUUAUUACAUUACUUUGUUUGGUUUAUUUUUACUUCAAUUUCAAUUUCUUAAUUCUUACAGUGCUCCAUAGCUAUACUCAUGGUGAUUCGAGGCCGACACAGAGUCAGACGGAGCAAAGUGGAACUCGUGCAUCGUAGUCGUAGGCUCGUAGCUAUGGACAUCAUUUUGUGAUCUAGUUGUGUACUAGACUUUGUCUUUGACAUUUGUUUGAGACUUUGUGUACUAGACUUUGACUUUGUGUAUUAGACUUGGGUACUAGACGUUCGUUCCAUUUAAAAUUUUAGACUUCGGAGUUGAGAUUUGUGGUUGUUGAUUUUGGAUUUGAUGUUAUAUAUUAUUUGUUAAAACAGGG